UUUUAGGCGGACGGGACGGGUGAGUAACGUGUGGGCAACCUGCCUUUUACUGGGGAAUAAUCACUGGAAACGGUGACUAAUACCGCAUAAUAUUCUUGGAAGGCAUCUUCCGAGAAGGAAAGGAAAUAUUCGGUAAAAGAUGGGCCCGCAUCUGAUUAGCUAGUUGGUGAGAUAACAGCCCACCAAGGCGACGAUCAGUAGCCGACCUGAGAGGGUGACCGGCCACAUUGGGACUGAGACACGGCCCAAACUCCUACGGAAGGCAGCAG
rnacentral:rRNA from 1 species